rnacentral:lncRNA from 12 species
GUUGGUUUUAUACUGAGUCGACGUCAUCCUGGAUUUAGUUCCUGUCGCUUUGGGUCUGAAAACUACCAUAGGAAUCCGUAGGCCCUUUACACAGCGGAGACCAAAUUCAGCCGCUCAUUAAAAUUCGCCACCAAGAGUAGCACUCCGAAGGGAAGGGACGUGUCUAGCUGCUCCCUGCGUGGCUGUCGGUAGGUUUUACGCUUUUUCUCUUCCUUUAUAAAAAUUAUUCUUGGAAAUGGGGUGUCUUCUCCUCCAGAUGGGUUGUUGGUUUUGUUUUGUUUUGUUUUGUUGCAAUCCAAAAAUCCAAAAAUGGGGCUCUGGGGAUUCCCCACUCCUUCCCCCAACAGUCCAGCUGCAUUUCCCCCCAUCCGUCUUGCCAGCUCCCUGGCUGGGACAGGCCCCCUAGCUGCCCUUCACCCGACAGGCCCCAGGCUGCGCUCCCCGAGCCCCGGCGGCCUGGCCGAAGCCGGGCCCCGCUCGCUGCAGGCGGCCGCCGUGAUUCACCGGAGCCCCAGCCGGCCGAGCUGCUGGAGAUGCCUCCAGCCCACGGCCAAGCGCAGGCGGCAGACGCCCUUCGAGAAGUGCUCUCUCACUACCCUCGGAUUCCUGGAAGGAAGAGCACUGUACGGAGAGUCUGAACGUCAGUUAUCCACGCAACACAGCCACCUUGGAAAUGAUCCCUCCUCUGUAGGUCUCGGGUUGGUUGUUUUUUUGUUUGUUUGUUUGUUUUUGGUUUUAAGUUGAUGGAAACAACGCCAACCAUCAUUGGGUCCCUUACAACCAUAAGAAUUAAUAAGGCUAGCUAAUUGUCGCCUGUUCGCCAAGGAGACUGGGGGGUAGACUUUGGAGCAUUUUUCUAGUUUUUUGCAUUGGGGCAAAGGAGCGUGCUAUCCCCACCCCCACCCACCUCAGGGUCUCUAUCAGCUGGUUCCAAGAUUAGGCAAAGGGAGUCUGGGAGCUGUGUCCUCUUGCAGAAGGGACUUUCUGGGAAGAGGUCACAGGGACCCAGACACCGCUCUACUCCAGUUACUCAGCCGGUUAUUCUCUCUCCCUCUCAGGGAGCUCACCCCCUGCAAGGCGGGGGCUCCCCAUCCUGGCUGCCCCUCAAUCAGCGGGCUGCAGUGUCCGCGGGGAGGCAGGAGCGGGGGAGGUGAUGCGCAGCCCGUGCUGAGCGUCCUCCACGGGGCCAAAACCCACAAGUGUCCGUCGGGCGCUAAACAAUCAUCCGCCUCGCUUCGCCAGGCGCAAUUGGAAUAACAAAUGCAAAGCACGCAAAUUGCCUGCCUCCUGUUCCUAAGCGAUUGUUUGUCGGCCCCGCACGCACCGCUCAGCAUGGGAGGACCGGGAGCGUCCGGAGGCAGCCAGCAAGCGCUUAGGUCGGACAUGCAAUACACACGCCGCUGAUUUUACUUAUUAUCACCCAAACACGAUUUCACACAAAGCAAUCACCAUGCCAGAAGUCUAUGAAAAUGUGUUUGUUGAGGAGUCAGUCGCCCCAGUAAUAGCACUCAUUUUUAAUAUAUUAAAGAACAGAUCAGCGGAUUCCGUACGCAUAAGGUAGAUGUGCGGACCGGUAUGUGUCAAGGCGCUUUUGCUCCGUAAUCAUCGCUAAAUUGAUUCAUAGGGCACAGAUUAAAUUGCUUCUCUGAUUUAAAACGGAGAGCCCAAAUUCGGAGAUUUGGAGUGUGCGUCUGGGUAUCUCCACUGGCCGGCCCCAAGAAAGUGUCAUCGUGGAGAAAACUGUCACCCAUAAUCUUUCCACGCACACGCACAUGCACACAGGCACGCACCCCGCUGGCUGUAAAAAAAAAAAAAAAGCAUAUGCGGUCCUAACUUCUUGCGAUUUCGGGAACUUUCUUAAUUUUUUCAGCCUCUCACCCAGUCACCGCUCAUCAUCGGGCGCCCUUAAGAAGGACUUUUUGUGACAUGGGCAAAAAGCUGAUGUGUCCUUUUCAAAGGUAGGGAGCCCCCCCCCAAAAGGGUGAAUUAGCUCAGAGGAAUGAGCAACAAUGAGCAGACGGGGCCACAGCCCGUGCGUGGCAUCCGGACCCCAUCCAGCCUUCACAGCGCGCAAAUCGGCUUUAUUGUUUGUAGUCCUGCUUAAAAAAAAAAACCCAGUGCCUCAAAAAUAGUGCACAGACCCCGGUCCAAGGCCCUGCUCCUUGGAGGACACCUCCGGUAGCCCCAGGGGGUUUUCCGUGUGAGCUGGGGAGGGUGGAGUACAGCACCAGGUGCAGAUAGCACCCUGCUAAGGGGCGGCGGGCAAGGGCUGGAUCUCCCGCACCAUUCAUGGGGAUGUAGGGACGCUUACUUACUAGCUGAGUUUUGCUCAAAGUUUUGCAACAGUCCAAAUAAGCGCUCUGAGCCCUUGCAGACAAAAUAAUCAAGGUGUUAGGAAAACGCAACAUAACGGGGGUGGGGGGGGGCGGAGAAGAGAGUGUCGAAAAAUGACGUCUUCCCAAAGCAUCAGGGAAAAAAAAAAAAAAAGCUCCGGGAUUCUAGGGUUGCAGAAAUUCGCUUUCGGCAGAGUUGUUUACCUAAGUUUGUUUCAAAGUGACUUGCACCGUUGCUUUUGCAAAUCACAGAAUGCAAAUGAUGAUAAUUUGUUCUUAGUGGAACUUUCUCUUGAAAUGAUUAGCAAAGUCAGUCAUUUGAAAAUUAGAGCGAAUGCACAGACGGUUCCCGAAGCCCCUCGCUAACCAAUAUCAGCUUCUAAAGUUUUCAUUCAUGUAAACCUCAUUAAUGAAGAUCUUUUAUUUAAACGUCAAGGGGAUUUGAAAUUUAGAGUAAAUUAUGAAGCUUGUAUGUCUAGCCAAGUCAUGGGUCAAAUGCAUUUGUGAAAAACUGCUAAAAGAGCAUAUGGUUUUGAAUUUUUCUACAAUGACUAGUGUUUAAAUAAAUUGCUUGUACUGCUUAACUUCA